GAUGAACGCUGGCGGCGUGCCUAAUACAUGCAAGUCGAGCGAACGGACGAGAAGCUUGCUUCUCUGAUGUUAGCGGCGGACGGGUGAGUAACACGUGGAUAACCUACCUAUAAGACUGGGAUAACUUCGGGAAACCGGAGCUAAUACCGGAUAAUAUUUUGAACCGCAUGGUUCAAAAGUGAAAGACGGUCUUGCUGUCACUUAUAGAUGGAUCCGCGCUGCAUUAGCUAGUUGGUAAGGUAACGGCUUACCAAGGCAACGAUGCAUAGCCGACCUGAGAGGGUGAUCGGCCACACUGGGACUGAGACACGGUCCAGACUCCUACGGGAGGCAGCAGUAGGGAAUCUUCCGCAAUGGGCGAAAGCCUGACGGAGCAACGCCGCGUGAGUGAUGAAGGUCUUCGGAUCGUAAAACUCUGUUAUUAGGGAAGAACAUAUGUGUAAGUAACUGUGCACAUCUUGACGGUACCUAAUCAGAAAGCCACGGCUAACUACGUGCCAGCAGCCGCGGUAAUACGUAGGUGGCAAGCGUUAUCCGGAAUUAUUGGGCGUAAAGCGCGCGUAGGCGGUUUUUUAAGUCUGAUGUGAAAGCCCACGGCUCAACCGUGGAGGGUCAUUGGAAACUGGAAAACUUGAGUGCAGAAGAGGAAAGUGGAAUUCCAUGUGUAGCGGUGAAAUGCGCAGAGAUAUGGAGGAACACCAGUGGCGAAGGCGACUUUCUGGUCUGUAACUGACGCUGAUGUGCGAAAGCGUGGGGAUCAAACAGGAUUAGAUACCCUGGUAGUCCACGCCGUAAACGAUGAGUGCUAAGUGUUAGGGGGUUUCCGCCCCUUAGUGCUGCAGCUAACGCAUUAAGCACUCCGCCUGGGGAGUACGACCGCAAGGUUGAAACUCAAAGGAAUUGACGGGGACCCGCACAAGCGGUGGAGCAUGUGGUUUAAUUCGAAGCAACGCGAAGAACCUUACCAAAUCUUGACAUCCUUUGACAACCCUAGAGAUAGAGCUUUCCCCUUCGGGGGACAAAGUGACAGGUGGUGCAUGGUUGUCGUCAGCUCGUGUCGUGAGAUGUUGGGUUAAGUCCCGCAACGAGCGCAACCCUUAAGCUUAGUUGCCAUCAUUAAGUUGGGCACUCUAAGUUGACUGCCGGUGACAAACCGGAGGAAGGUGGGGAUGACGUCAAAUCAUCAUGCCCCUUAUGAUUUGGGCUACACACGUGCUACAAUGGACAAUACAAAGGGCAGCGAAACCGUGAGGUCAAGCAAAUCCCAUAAAGUUGUUCUCAGUUCGGAUUGUAGUCUGCAACUCGACUACAUGAAGCUGGAAUCGCUAGUAAUCGUAGAUCAGCAUGCUACGGUGAAUACGUUCCCGGGUCU
rnacentral:rRNA from 1 species